rnacentral:rRNA from 1 species
UUAAAUUGAAGAGUUUGAUCAUGGCUCAGAUUGAACGCUGGCGGCAGGCCUAACACAUGCAAGUCGAACGGUAACAGGAAGCAGCUUGCUGCUUUGCUGACGAGUGGCGGACGGGUGAGUAAUGUCUGGGAAACUGCCUGAUGGAGGGGGAUAACUACUGGAAACGGUAGCUAAUACCGCAUAACGUCGCAAGACCAAAGAGGGGGACCUUAGGGCCUCUUGCCAUCGGAUGUGCCCAGAUGGGAUUAGCUAGUAGGUGGGGUAAAGGCUCACCUAGGCGACGAUCCCUAGCUGGUCUGAGAGGAUGACCAGCCACACUGGAACUGAGACACGGUCCAGACUCCUACGGGAGGCAGCAGUGGGGAAUAUUGCACAAUGGGCGCAAGCCUGAUGCAGCCAUGCCGCGUGUAUGAAGAAGGCCUUCGGGUUGUAAAGUACUUUCAGCGGGGAGGAAGGGAGUAAAGUUAAUACCUUUGCUCAUUGACGUUACCCGCAGAAGAAGCACCGGCUAACUCCGUGCCAGCAGCCGCGGUAAUACGGAGGGUGCAAGCGUUAAUCGGAAUUACUGGGCGUAAAGCGCACGCAGGCGGUUUGUUAAGUCAGAUGUGAAAUCCCCGGGCUCAACCUGGGAACUGCAUCUGAUACUGGCAAGCUUGAGUCUCGUAGAGGGGGGUAGAAUUCCAGGUGUAGCGGUGAAAUGCGUAGAGAUCUGGAGGAAUACCGGUGGCGAAGGCGGCCCCCUGGACGAAGACUGACGCUCAGGUGCGAAAGCGUGGGGAGCAAACAGGAUUAGAUACCCUGGUAGUCCACGCCGUAAACGAUGUCGACUUGGAGGCUGUGCCCUUGAGGCGUGGCUUCCGGAGCUAACGCGUUAAGUCGACCGCCUGGGGAGUACGGCCGCAAGGUUAAAACUCAAAUGAAUUGACGGGGGCCCGCACAAGCGGUGGAGCAUGUGGUUUAAUUCGAUGCAACGCGAAGAACCUUACCUGGUCUUGACAUCCACGGAAGUUUUCAGAGAUGAGAAUGUGCCUUCGGGAACCGUGAGACAGGUGCUGCAUGGCUGUCGUCAGCUCGUGUUGUGAAAUGUUGGGUUAAGUCCCGCAACGAGCGCAACCCUUAUCCUUUGUUGCCAGCGGUCCGGCCGGGAACUCAAAGGAGACUGCCAGUGAUAAACUGGAGGAAGGUGGGGAUGACGUCAAGUCAUCAUGGCCCUUACGACCAGGGCUACACACGUGCUACAAUGGCGCAUACAAAGAGAAGCGACCUCGCGAGAGCAAGCGGACCUCAUAAAGUGCGUCGUAGUCCGGAUUGGAGUCUGCAACUCGACUCCAUGAAGUCGGAAUCGCUAGUAAUCGUGGAUCAGAAUGCCACGGUGAAUACGUUCCCGGGCCUUGUACACACCGCCCGUCACACCAUGGGAGUGGGUUGCAAAAGAAGUAGGUAGCUUAACCUUCGGGAGGGCGCUUACCACUUUGUGAUUCAUGACUGGGGUGAAGUCGUAACAAGGUAACCGUAGGGGAACCUGCGGUUGGAUCACCUCCUUACCUUAAAGAAGC